CCUACGGGUAGCAGCAGUGAGGACUAUUGGUCAAUGGGCGUAAGCCUGAACCAGCCAAGUCGCGUGAGGGAUGAAGGUUCUAUGGAUCGUAAACCUCUUUUAUAAGGGAAUAAAGUGUGGGACGUGUCCUGUUUUGUAUGUCACUUAUGAAUAAGGAUCGGCUAACUCCGUGCCAGUAGCCGCGGUAAUACGGAGGAUCCGAGCGUUAUCCGGAUUUAUUGGGUUUAUAGGGUGCGUAGGCGGCCUUUUAAGUCAGCGGUGAAAGUCUGUGGCUCAACCAUAGAAUUGCCGUUGAAACUGGGAGGCUUGAGUAUGUUUGAGGCAGGCGGAAUGCGUGGUGUAGCGGUGAAAUGCUUAGAUAGCACGCAGAACCCCGAUUGCGAAGGCAGCCUGCCAAGCCAUGACUGACGCUGAUGCACGAAAGCGUGGGGAUCAAACAGGAUUAGAUACCCCAGUAGUC
rnacentral:rRNA from 1 species